rnacentral:rRNA from 1 species
CUACGGGUGGCUGCAGUGGGGAAUAUUGGACAAUGGGCGCAAGCCUGAUCUAGCCAUGCCGCGUGAGUGACGAAGGCCUUAGGGUCGUAAAGCUCUUUCGCUGGGGAAGAUAAUGACGGUACCCAGUAAAGAAACCCCGGCUAACUCCGUGCCAGCAGCCGCGGUAAUACGGAGGGGGUUAGCGUUGUUCGGAAUUACUGGGCGUAAAGCGCGCGUAGGCGGAUCAGAAAGUUGGGGGUGAAAUCCCGGGGCUCAACCCCGGAACUGCCUUCAAAACUCCUGGUCUUGAGCUCGAGAGAGGUGAGUGGAAUUCCGAGUGUAGAGGUGAAAUUCGUAGAUAUUCGGAGGAACACCAGUGGCGAAGGCGGCUCACUGGCUCGAUACUGACGCUGAGGUGCGAAAGCGUGGGGAGCAAACAGGAUUAGAUACCCGAGUAGUC